GGUUAGGGGUGAAAUUGAGGUUUUAGAUAACUUAAUAAAUCCAGUGGAGGAUUAGAACCACACAAGGUUGUAAUAUCAUAAGUAAAAGUCCAAAUAUUAGUCAUAAGCCAAGAUUAGUAUGAAAAAGGAAUAAAUUUACAAGGAAAGUUGUAAAUUCACACGGGAAAACAUAACUUUGAAAGAAUAUAGUUGUUUAUCAGACUAAAGUUGUAGAUUAACAAUAUCUGAAUCAUUCAUUCACAAAAACAAAAGUCCUGAUCAUACAAGACUUAAUUUGUGAUAAGAAAGAGACAUAAUUGCUGGUAAUGGUUGACCUAUGUGUCAUUCUGUGUUAUUAAAAUGAGGAUAAUUAAGGAACGUAGACCAUCUUAUGAAGAUGCACUCAACAGCUGAGGACAGCUGUUAUAAAAGCAUACUACCUCUAAUUAGAACAAAACUCAGUUUUUCUCUGCAGAAUUCUGAGUCGUGUGUUGGUGAAAUGCUUAAAAGUUAAAAUAUUCACUUAUGUACAAAUGCUAUAUUAAAGUACAACCUCACAAGAUUCUCCAAGUUCGUCUUUAAAUUCAGCUGGCUGCUCCUAUGAUUGUUCCUUCAUAAUAAUGUACAUGCCAUAACCUCAAAUUCCAAUUUAAACUUCUUUAUUUUAUCUUUGUGACUUUAUGACUUGAUCCUCAUAUAUAAACAACCAUCGUGUUGAAACUUCAAUUUCCUUUCUUCUAUAACAUGACCCUCUGCUGUCGCUCUGGUGUUAUUAAAAACUUGCAAAUAUUCAGGUAAAUAUUCAGCUUUCAUAUAUUUCAAUUGGCGUUGCCUGUUGGAAGUAACUCCACCUUGGGCAUCUGCUUCAGGUGGUAAUUUGAGUCCGGUAUGUUAUAAGAGUACUGGAAAGUAAGCUGGUUAAGAUUGACUAUUUUUCCAAAGUAGUGCUGCUCAUAUGGCAAUAGGGAUAAAUAGUCAAUUAAUCUUGACAGGGUCUUGAAAGGUUAGGAAUAACACUGUAAACUUGAAAAUUAUAGCUAAAUGGUGAAAAUGUAAGUAGAUUUGUGAUGGUGUUGAAGUCCAGCUGUUUGAAUGGGAGAAACGGAAACAUUACGAAGGAGAAUCAAUGUGUUAAUUAACAUCUAUCCUUAUAAGAAAUUUGGGGUCCAUUCUAAGUUAUUUGGGUGUUUGGUAGCUCAGCAAACACAGAUGUUAGUUUCACUUUGUACUCGUCAGACUCGCACAGUUUUCUUUCCACAAUCAGGUUACACUCCAGACCAAAGGAGACUGGACCUUAUUCAGCUACAGAAGGAGCCUGGGUCCAUUUCCGGCUUGGAUAUGUUUAUUCAGUUCUGGAGACUCUUUGGCUGUAAUCAGCUUGCAUAAAUCUCUUUGAUGAUAGCCCCUAGAACAUCUGCUGGAGCAAUAAAAAAAUCCAGGGAGGCAAUAAAAUGUCUGGCUGAACAUAUGCUAAUGGAAAUGUGAGUUGUUCUGAAAAGUUUGUCCUGAAGUAAUUGCCACAAUGUGACUGUGUAGUCUAUGAAUUCACAUAAUGAUCAUACUGAAUUUACCAAAGCUGAUGUUAUCGCUGUUUGUGCAGCGUGAUGAUCACCCCAUCCUUACCUAGUUGAGGAUUUUAGAGUUUCACUGCCCUUCGACAAGUCUUUUCCUUUCUUCCCGCCUGUCCUUAUAUCUCUCAUUCUAUACACCACCUUCAUACAGUCUGAAACACAGACAAGUUCACAGUGUACUGCAGGAUGGAUGACUGCAUGCUGUUAACCUCUGUUUGAAAAAUCAGGGCUGAAAGGCACAGGGAUUUAUCACAGGUGUGUGUGUGUUUAUGUGUGUUUGUGUGUGUUAUGGACUGUUGUGUCUGUAUCCCAUCAGUGUUGGACAAAUUACAUGAUAGAUAUAAUCACCUUCUUUGAACAUGACACGCUUUGAAAUGUAACAUAAUGACUCACCAAACAGGGUUACUUAUUAGCAUCAUUAGUUUAAAGUCAUCUGCCGCACUGGUGGACUAAAGGGGGAAAUCUGACUCCUGCUCACUGCAGAGUUGAUAGAACACCUUAAAUACCAUCUGUUUGCUUUCUUAGCCUGCUUUCUGAUGUUUGUAGAAACUUUUACAAACAGUGUAGUUCGAUAAGUUAUUGCAGAGUAUCCAAAAAAAAAAAAAAAAAUCAAAUCAUGGUUAUCACUUUAUUUGACACCUAUCUCCGUGACGCAUUAUAAAUAUAAGUAUAAUGCUUUGUAAUUAUGUUAUAGCACUGUAUAACUAUAGUUAUAAACACUCAUAAAUGAUCAUAAUGCUUUAUAGCAAUAAUCAUAACACAUUAUAAAGCAUUUUAUCAUGACUUAAUGCAAUGCAACCAUUGUUAACAGUUGUAACAGGAGGUCCUUUCUUCCAGCAGCCAUCAGACUGUUUAACAAAACUUGAGUUGAGGACCUGUGCACCUCAGCAUUAUAUAAAUAUACCACUGCUAGCGCUACUGCAUUUAUUGUACUUUUUAUACUGGUUUUAACUGAUUUUACCCCAUUUGGCUGGUCUGCAGAGGUUGUUGUUGUUGUUGUUGUCUUUGUUAGUGUACUGUGUAUGAGUCUGUGAGUGGCACGACCACUCAAUUUCCCAACUGGGAUUAAUAAAGUACCUACCUACCAACCUACCUAUCUACCUACCUACAACACAUUAUAAUACCUGACCUUGUAAGUCAUGAUAAAAUGCUUUAUAAUUUGUUAUGAUUAUUCAUGAUGCAUUAUAGAGAUAGGUGUCACAUAAAUAGAUACCAAGUCUUCUCCUGUGAUGUGAAAGUCCUCAAGAAAGUUUUAGAAACUAAUGUAUGAAAAAGGCUUUGAAAACUAAAAACAUCACUACAUAAUGUAAACAUGUGACACUUUUUGUUUAAAGCCCCUGUGAUUACUUUUUUUUUUACUUGUAUAAAGUUGACUCAAGUCACACUGAAGUUGUUAUAUGAUUUACAGAAGCAAUCAAGACCAUCAGGAACAAGAUUGAUCAGUUUUACAUCCUAUUUUUAUUAUGCCUGAAACUGGUGCCAAUCAAGCAGCUAGAAAGAAACACCCACAAGAGAUGAAACUUUUGAGUGUCAAAGUCAGUAAGAUCAAUUAUUUUGUUAGAGGACAAAAGGGGGCGCCAAUGUCAACACCAACUAAAAGUUCCUUAAAGUAGCUUUAAUAUGAUAGGAACCACACAGAUAAACCCUUUGUGGUUCUCAUUAAGCUUGAGGUUACCAGGACAGGUAAGUCAAACAUUAUGACACAGCCUAGGCAGUUUAGUGUUUAAAACUUCCCCCAAUCUGCCUGAGUGUCCUCUGCAUCUCUGCACAAACCAAAACUGCAGUUAAAGCAAAAUCUUGUUCUCUGUCCGCUACAGAAAAAAAAACAGGGGCAUUCAUAUUUAGAGCCACUUACGUUGUGACAAACGUGACUUUGGGUCAAGGGUUCAGAGCCUGCAAACAAGUGUGCAUUUGACUCUUGGAGCUCAACAAGGGUAUAACUCAGCGCAAACAUGUUUGUAGUCGCAGUACAUAUGCCAGAGUGAAAGAACUGCCACUACUGUUACAAAUGAGGCAGCCGCAGAUAUACUCUGCUGUGACUGAAGAAGUAAAACUGUAAAAGACAUUUGUCAUUCUAAGACAAGGUUGAGAGGGUAUGCAUCUACAUCGAUUUUGCAACUGAGAAAGCUGUUCCCAAAUCAUCCCGCACUCCCAUCAUGUGUCAGGCUGAGUUAAUUGUUUGAGAGUGCUGAGGAUGGGUGUCUGUGACUGGAUCAUUGAUCCGUUUUGUGGGUGUGAAAACCACCCACAGAGCAAGGGGUAGAUGUGACUCCAGAAAGCAUGUACAAUACUGUAAUUUCCCUCUUCUGUGAGCCAUGGUGGGACACACAGAGCAGAGGAAUUUCUGCCGUGUCGCAGCAAGAGCCCCGCGGAGGGCUGAGGAACAAUUUCUUGCUUUCAAUUUCAGAGUGCUCUAAAGGGAAUUGUGAAUGCAUCUUCAUACAAGUACUCCUCAAAAUGAAAUAAAAGAAGACGCUUGUUCCACUGUUAGCUAAUCCAACAGAAUUCGAGGUUCACGCUAACGUGGCGUAUGAAUUCUGGGAUGUUUUUCUGUCCCAUGUGAAUUAUUUAUUGGCUUUGUAUUUCACAAACACAAUGCAAUAACCUCCCACGACACAGGGCAGCUUCUCAAUGCGCAGGAUUUUUUGUUUUUUUUUUGCUGAACAACAUUUUCUGAAUUCAUCAAAGAGCAUAGCUGCAGCGUUGUGUUAGUGUGCCCUGGCUCAAACAGGAUAGUUUUGCUUCCAUGUGUUUAAUGUCUCCGACACAGCAGGCUCCCACAGUGCCUUUGGAGAGGGCUGUAGAGAGAGAGAGGGGGAGUGUGUGUUUACUUUUGUGUUUGUGUGAGAGACAGCAGCAGCAAAAACAAAAGUACUGGGGGAGUUUGGUGCUUUCGUGCUCGGGCUUGUGUGUGAAUGGAGAAAGACGUGGGCAGAUAAGUAAUGGUAUGUUUGGAGAGAGUGUAUGAUGUACACCGGUGAGCUGUGGCUGGGUUUUCCCAUUUUCGCUAUAGUGGAUGGUAUUGGGGGAGAAGGAGGAGAGACUUUAGGUUACUCAGUGACACUUGACGGUGUGCUAGGCAGCCUCCCAGGAUGAUGUCCUGGUGCCAGCUUUUGUAGUCAAACAGCACGAGGACUGCGUGUACCGAAACACCGAAAAAUUACCCAUGUGAUCUGCCAAUUGACAGAACAAUUUUCUUUGGGCAUGUUCAUCUUUUUCAGCCUCUUUCAGUUAUUUUAGCCCAGUGAGCUAUCUCUUCUGCAUGGAUUUCUCCUACAAGCGACUCCACAGGUGCUCACAAAUCCCCUUUCAGUACCAUAAAUGCUUCUUUUUUUAUUCCUCUUUGGAGGCUGAUGUUGUGUCUGUUAUCUGCAGUGACAUAUGUGCUCUGCCAUCCUACACACCACCAUUUAAAAUUUCCACUAAUGCUGUUUCGCUCAAGGGGUUUCACACAUUUAUUCCAACUUCCCCAGCCUGCAUGUUUUUAUUUUAUCGCUUUAUUUUUUUAAUUUCUGUUUGUUCGUGUGUUUGAAAGAGGCAGUAUGUGUGUCUAUGCAUGCAUAUUUGAGCUCCAUUCCUCUGCAUGCCAGUCUCAAGGCCACAUCAUUAGAGUAAGAGGGCUGUAAUUAGUGAGUCCAUGCAUAUUAAACAGCAACCCUGCAUCUCCAGACCAGACAGCCUUGAAAAAAAAACAGCACUCCACUGUCACUUGCAGCCAAUAAGCCACAGUAAAUGCCCAGAGGGUUUGAAAUGUUACAGACAGAGCACUGAGGGUGAUUAGUUACCAGCAUCAGUCUGCUUCUAUUCUUCUGGCAGUCCUUCACAUUUGAUUGUGGGAUGUUGAAUAUGUGAUUUUACUGGAUGAAGAUUGAAGAGGAAGAAGAAGGUCCAGUGAUAGAUCAUAUUAAAGUAACACUUGGAGACACAGUACCUGAUUUAGGGCCGUCACUAUGUCAGAUUUUCACCUUACAGUUAUCAUAGCCAUAAAAUACUUGGUUAACAAUCUUGCAAUAUUCGUGGAAAAGUUGAAAACAGAAUAACACAAUCAGUCAGAUUGAGAAAAAGCAAGACAGAGUGGAGUAACAUGGUAUCACCACAGUGCUAAAAAUAUCGAAUGAUUGGGUUUGCCUGACCAAAACUGGACUUAAAAAAACAAAGGCAAGUUUGUUUUUCUAACGAAGUCACUUUCAUCAAAGUAAGACUUACGCUCUAUACUGUCUGACAUUGUAACCCUGAUCAGGGAAAUAGUUCUCUUAAAUGUACCACUAAACCCAAACUGGUCCAAGCGUUCUGCAGAUACUCCAAAGUCCCCAUGUUGGACUUUGACAAUAUGAUCAGUUAGCUUCUUGAUAACUUGUUGAUCCACUGUUUUGGUAUUCACGGUAUCAGAUCAGCCGGAAAAGAUCUAGUAACUGGCCAAUAGAGGGCAAUGAACCAUUUCUGGCCAACAGCAUGUAUACUGGGACAAGGAGAACAGCCAAGUUAUGCAUGAAAUACACUAAAUAAGAAAUUUGAGAUCAGAAACAGAGAUACCACAACUGAAGCAAACGCCAGAGGCUGUGUCUGGUUACACUCAACAGAAUAAAGAUGAAAUAAGGAGGAUCCACCUCCAACUUGAGGCAUUUCGAACAACAAGGUGGGCAAUGCCAGGUAGAAAAAAAUGACUCUAUAUAUGGGAUAAAUUAAAGUCAAAGAUGGGCCAUAAAGGGCCCUUCUGUUUCAGAGUCUCUAUCCAGAUUUCCUUCUCCAGGUUUAUUAUCUUCGCAGAGCUUUGUGUUGAGCAAAACAGCCACACAAUCAAACUUGACUUAUUGGGGCCAAAGGAUCUAGAGUGGAGGGAGAGUAAUUUUUACACAUGUGGAGUCAUAUAACACAUGCAUGCACAAACACAAACGUCACUUGAGCUCAUUUUGGUUGUGUAAAGAGCGUAAAAAAAUAGACAUGCCAAAUAGUGCAACAGCGUCAGUAUUGAUGGGUUUUUGAAAGAUGGGUUAAGUCGUUAAGUACAAAAUUGUAUUUUUGUUAUGCUUGCUCUCAGUAAAAUGGGCCAAUGCAAUCACAGCUGUCCUGUGUGGACAACCACAAUCACAACAACAUCUUGUUAUGCCUUGUGGAUAUAUUUUGGAAUCUAUACCAUUGAUAGUUAAAGACAAAGAUAGGGCUGAAUGUUGACUUAGCACAAAUGUGCUGCCUCAUCAAAUCUACAGGCUCAACUUUGAGGAGGUGAGAUUGUCAAGAUGUGCAACAUUGGCAGGUUUUACUGUAAAUAUAAAGAGAGCUGCACUUGAUCCUGAUUAAGACGAUAGAUUUGUGUUUUUGACGAAUAUUACUACAAAAGAAGUAGUCAGACUCUGCAGAUUGCCAGUCACUGUUGGUUUAAUGCAAACAUGGUCACAGUUAAAAGUUAAAAGUUUCAUGAAACUGACAUGACAUGCACCUGAACUUGAGGUGCAGCUUAUUGAAUGAAUAGAUUGUUAAGUUGGAACAAAAUGUGUCCUUAACUUUUUAAAAUCGGAUUGGAAGUGACUGUUUUUGAACGUUUGAAUGUGUCAAUAAACCAUUUGAAUUGGCAGUCUUGGUCAAACGCCACACAUCCUGGGUCAUAAUGAAGACUGAGGCUGGAGCUGCAUGCUUAACAUAUGAAAUGAAUGUCCUUGUGACUAAAUUUCAAACUGUGGCCCUCCUCCCUCGCUGUCUUCUAGCUGUUUUCUUGUAAGACACACAGAGAGAUGCACUGGGAAACACAAAGGCUCAGCAGAGGGACUUAUCCAGAGCGUAAAUGUAAAGCUUUCCAUGGUGACUCACUGCUGUCCUUUGAGUAGGAAUGCAACAAAAGCCACACAUAGAAGAUAUCAAACCGCACAGAAAAAUGGCAGCACUGUAAUUUAAUGUCUAAAAACUAAUCAAUAGCAUAAAUGGAUUACACUGUGACCGAAGAGAUGGAUGAUGCUUGUAAUUAAUAAAGAAUUUAAAUUUGCUUCUAUUGGUGACAUCCUGUCGUAAAGACAGCAUUUACAAACUCAAUAAAUCAUGUAGCCACAACCCUCGCUAAAACCACAAUCAAAUUAAAGACAACAAAGCGGCCGCAGCAGGCUGUAGUGAUCUGGACACUUAUUUUUACGGGAGUUUUGAGAUAAACAGGUAAUUCACUGUUUAUGACAACCUUUUUGUAGCAGAAAAUUAUGAAUUUCUGUACCUUUAGAUGCUCCUGUAAUUGACUAAGUAAUAGACGUCAUCAUUCAACACAGUAACAGCAUCUAGCAAUAUUCUCUCAACACACUUAAACUUUAUCACCACUUAGUAUAAUCACCACUAAUCUAAUGUCCCAAGGCACGUAUGUUAUUUUCAGGGGCUGGCAAAAAGAAUAAAUAUAAUUACACUCACCAUUUAAAUGCUGAUUAUUCUCUGGAAUCAUAAUGAACGCAUCUAGCGAUUGCUCCAUUACACAAUGACCCUCUACUCGGGAAAAAUAAGUAAUUUUUGGGAGUAUUAAUUGUGAGUUGUGAAUGUAUUUUGUGAGCCUGUAAUGAGCUCGUUGGUGAUAUUGUUCACACUUAACUGAUUUUUAAUUAAAUUCAGCUUCACAGAAAAUUCAACAGCCAUGAAAUUGCCAUACAUGUUUUGCUGUGCUCUGGAAAUAUGGGUUUAUUGGUUUAAACUUAGUGUGAAGGCAAAAGGAGCGUGUCUGCAAUUACUAUUUAAGUGACCUGCCUUAGCAGGUUAAGAAUAUGCUAAUGCUAAAGGGGGAGUGUUAUAAUGCAUUUGUUUUUUUUUGACUCUAUAUUUCAUUUCUGACAUCAUUUCAAUAGCUUUACGUGACUUUCAGGUAAAAGAAAAAGCCUCAAAUUUGUCACAGUGGUAUAUUAAAAUAUCGUUAUUUCAACCUCUAUUCAGUCUAGCUGCUGUCUCUUUAAGGCCCGCCCUUCCACAAGCCUACUUUCUUCUGAUUGGCCACCUCUCAAGAGGAUUUAAGCCAGCUGAGGGCAGAGCUUGCUAUUGUGGUUGAUCAGUUGAGCAACAUUACUAGUAUAGGAUCGGUAUAUUAUGUCUAUGGUUACCCUGCUCCACUGUGGAUGUCACUUAACACGCUGAUGGAGGCAGGCCAUUAUGCUUUGCCAGAAGCACAUGAACUAGUAAGGAGAGUCUAUAACUUUUACGUCAGAAUUUAGUACAUCUUGCACAUAAACUACAGUCUUGCAUUUUAGCGCAUUUGUCCGAGAUUCAAGCAGUUUACAUCUACUUUCUCAGAUUAUGACAAAAUACGUUAACCUUGUGAUAUGAAACUUUGCAUACAUAUAGUAUGGAUACCAAACUUUGUAACUUUGCUGUUUUUCUUGUAAAUGAGGAAAAGCAUAAUACCCCCUUUAAGAUGUGCUGAACUCUUAUGAUGCACCACCUGAAUAGAAACGCUCAGACCCCCGUUUGCAUUUUAGCUCAACUAAGCAUCUUUGAACUUCGCCUAACCCUUAUUUGUCUUACUCUCAUAUCCCUCUUGGCAAUGUCUUUAUCCCUCAUGAGACUGGGCUGCUAAGAUGCUCUGUGUCCCCCUUGCUAAGCAAAAAAAACGGGACAAAAUUAGCAACUAGCUAGUGAGGACUUUGUAGCAUUACCAAAAAACAAGCUCAAUAAGAGUACAAGGAGCUGAAAGAAAAAUAAUUCAGGAGAAUUAGCCUGAAAACCCCCCUGUGCUACCAAUAAAAACAGGCAAAGCACUGAUAGAAUGAUGGUGAAUGGGAGAGAAAGAAGAGAAAAUGAUACUUUAAGCGCACAACCUCCCAGUCUGUCCUUUCCCAUCCCUGGUGAUAAAGAGCUGCUGAAAUUCUGUUGGUCAGCUGUGACCCUCAUGAUACAGUUUCUGGGUCCCAUGGGCCGCUGUCUUUGCUUUGGUGCAGCUCCCAGAGAAACACAUGCUGUACAGGCACAACAUUCACAGCAAUAAAGGUCAAAGAAAAAGUAGUCUGAAAUGGAGCUUUACCUUCCUUCACCUCUUCCUCCUUCUUCAGAUCACCUUUCUUCUUCAGUCUUCAUUAAUUCCUACCUCGUACUGUAACGCUGUUCUGGGUCAACGCAGGUAAUGGGGGUCACCAGUGUUGAAACGGAUGUGGGGUAGAAUUGCUGGGAAAGAAUAACAAAAGAGAAGUUCAAUUGAUUUGUCUUGCAAGUUGUAAAGCAAAUUGCUUUUGAGGAGAGGAAUGCGGCAAGCUCAGCCUCAGACAUUCAGAUCAGAUGGGGAAAAAUCCUCACUUUUUAAUUAGACACUUUGACAAGGAUGAGGGUGUGACAAAUUUUAACUAAGGUCUUAUCCAAGGUUAUGAAAUUUGAUACGGAUAUUAAACUCCACAGAGGAUCCAAACCCCAAAUAUCACAGACAUUUGGAAAAGCCUAGCGAGUUUGCUUGAUCUCAUGUAAUUGCGGAGCAUAAAUUAUGCAUAGAGAACAACGCUGCAUGGUGGGUUACAACUGGUGAUGAUUGUCCUUUGGAGACAGUGUUAAUAUCACAAGACAUCAUUUAUCGCCCACAGUGUGCAUGAUAAAUAGGUCAACCCCAACAGCAAGGAACACACUGCCAUGGGAAAAUAAACAUAAACCAUCAGACAUGAUAGUACUUGCAGGCUGCGUCAUGUGUGCUCUGAAACUGCUGGACAAGUCCACCCCACCACAUUUCCGCCAAUCCUGGUAAAUGGACAAUGUUCAAAGGCUGACCUUGUGGACCCGGCUGUCUUUGGUUUUUAGGCUUCCCUUUUAUUCAUGGGUCUAAUUGCUUGCUUCUGUUCCUCCCGGGAAAUGAAAUGUUUGAACUUCUCGGCCAAAGCCGUGAUGUUGAUCAGGGCAAGCCUGGUUCAGCGGAAAAAAAAAACAGAAAAAAGAGAAGAAAGAAUGAAGAAAGGAGCAACGACUUGUGACACAAUCAUUACCCUUGGGCUUUUCUUUCUUAGAAGGCUCGCUUCUGAACCGCAAACUCAGCUUUCUGCGGUUCUUCUUAAUUAAAUGCUAUCAAAUCAAUGCACACAUGAUCACUAAUCAAAUUGGCAAUGGAAAAAAGUCUUUGUUGCAUAGUCUGGCCUCAAACUGAGAUAGCCUUCUAAAUAAUUAAUGUUUAAUUGCAUAAGGUACAUCAAAAAGGAAACAGCCAUCCCUUGUGUAUCAUAUAUCAGUUAUAAGUGAUAAAAUAAAGGACCAAAUGAAAAGAGAAGAUCAAAUAAUUAGAUGAGAAAAUCAAUCAAGAAGGCUUUAAUCAUAUCAGAGAUCGUUUCUGUAACUGCUGCCUGUAUUUCUUUUUAAAUGUGAAAGUAAUGAAGCUGCUGAUUUCCCUCAGCUGUUCAAUCUUAUGGCCCAUGUAGGUUAUUACUCCCAAAGCUAAAGCCUGAGCUACUGGUCUACGAGAAGGCCCUUUGCCACGUGACAACCCUUCCUCCAGAAAACCAGACCUUAUCUGUGGGACCAGGAAUCUUUGCUCACUAGAUCAAUGAGAUGUCCGGUAUAAUUCAGUAUUAAAAUCAGUUUUAUUUGCAUUUAUGGCUUUAGUUUUGAUUUGAACAGAACAUUUGAAUUGUGUUUUUGACUUCUUACUACUGUUAGUUUGGGUAAGCUUAUGAAAACUGACUAAAAACCUCCAGUGACAAAGUGCAGAGUGGAUUUGAGAUCUCCCAGAUCAGAGCAGCUCUUGCUCUAUUGAGCUUCUGGGACUGAUGGGCCUCAACUUGUAUGAGAUGUCCUGGUAUGUCAUUUCAGGGGCCAAAGGAGGAGGUUGGAGUUUGUGUUUGAAGUGAGGUGAGAACCAGGUGAGUGACUGCUUAUCUAAAGUGGAAAGUAAGAACAGGAGGGAUGCAGAGGUGGAGGUUUGAAUUCAUAAGAGAGUCAGAAGAAGUGCACUUGAUUAGCAAUCCUGACCCUGAAGCUAAUAUAGCAUCACUUAAAGCCAGUGAGAGAUUGUGAUCAUGCACAUUAUAAAGACAGGGGAAUAAAAAAGUACUGCAGUUGGAGAUGGGACACAAAGCAAGAUCACUGGCAUUAAAGUCAAAAGAUGUGUUUUCCCAACUGUUGAGCCAAGUCCACUUCUGUUCACAGCUUUCAAACUGUGCUGCAUUUCAAGACUCAGAACAGAAGGGAUGAAGCAAAAAUCAAAGCUACGGAUAUUAAAAAGCAGCUAUGGCCUCCAAUAGUGAUGAGGAAUGGAUGUAGUUCAGUAAAAUCAAAUGUGUCUGGUUUUGCGUUUCAUUUUCAGACUCAUCUUGACUUCCAGCUGAGGCGGGCUCAAAUGUCACACUGUAACGAGCAAUUUCCACCACAUCCGGAGCGGCUAAGAAAAGACCGUAACCACUGAUCGUAACUGACUGUAACCAUUCAAGUCAAGUGUCUAUUUUACCAUCUUCUUUCCGUUCUGCUGCAGAUCGCUGUACUCCGCAGCUGAUCACAAGGUUUCUAUUUUUUCUGCAGGAGCAUGCCGGAUAAAUUCAGCACAGAUUAACUUGUGCUGGAAAGGAAGUCGGGCACACACACAAAAUAAAACAUUCAGCUUCUUUUCAAAAUAAAACACUCUGGGUUUCAGGCGGAUCGUUUUUCACACCAUGCAAACGGAGACAAGUGAAAGGUUCAUAGACAGCAAGUCUAGAAGUAGAUUUCCUUCUCUGGAAGGACACAAUCUACCGCUUAUAAGGUUAGCCUAUGUGGCUAAAGACAACUUAUUAUCACGCAAUUGCACGUGACUCGCGGGUUCUUGUGAGUUCUCGCAUUUCCUGCUGUCCGUAAUCUGCCACGAAAUCAACAAACUAACAAACGGAUCCAGUAAGAAUUGGCGUACAGUGAAAAUUGCCACCUUUCCAGAUUGGAGCCAUUCCAGAUGCGGUGGAAAUCUCGGGUAAGAUGCUUUAUUAGCGUCUGAACAAGUUUCUCCAAACCCACCAAAGGUUGUAAGAGACUUAUUUUGCAGUUGUAUGUGUUGAAACAUCUCAACAGACUUCUUGGUGUGGAAUAGGUUUGCUCGUGGAAGGAUUGGGUGACUUUGGCUGAAAACAGAUGUGGUAACGCGGUAGUACACACUAAUUUAUGUCUAUGAACAAGACAUGUUCAGACAUGUUGGUUUGGCGUUGCUGACAAGGACAGCAGUCGAUGGUGAAAUGUGUCAUUAAGACCAUCCAAGCAGUGGGCAUGAAUGAUUUAAAAGCCCAUUCAUAUUUGAGAUCAACACGUACAACUGCUGUGAAAUACUCAGAAAAAGGCUGUGCUGCUAAAUUCUAAGUGUUGUGUCUUUUUAAUGCAAUCAGUGUGAUACAUUUGUUGUACAGCCAGUUCUUCAUUAAGCUUUGGAAGAUGUGCAAUUAAUUUAUAAAAAGAAACUGUAACAAGCAGCUGUCGUGUGCAUAGUUAAAUCAGAAUAAAACAUUGUGCCGCAAAAAUCAUCUUACAUGAAUUCUAACAUGUAUUCAAUGUUCAAAGCAGGAAUAAUGAACAUUUAAUUGGUCCAUUUAUAACCGAAUGUUUUGCUAAUUUUGUUUAUUAACCGCUCUGUUGGUCGUGCCAUGUCAAUAUGAACUUCAUCAAAUUGUAAAUUGUUUUUAUAGACCGAAUUAAUCUGUUGUAAUUAACCACAGGGUAAUUAAUAAUGCGGCUGGCACGUUCAGCUCUGCAGAUAAAAGCAACAGUGUGCAAAUGUAAAACAGCAGCUGAAUGGAGGAAUUUAGGAAAUAGCUGCUAUUGCUCUGGAAAUGUCAGCAACUCUCAAGGAUAUGGAGAUGAGGCUUGACUGACAGGCGCAUCUCUGACUGACAAUCAAUGUUUGUGUACUUUGAACAGAGUGCCGUCGAUGUUUUCAGGGCUGCUUCAGAGGAUGUUCGUCUUCAUUUUCUCCCACAUUGUGAUGUUAAAAUUGCCACAUGCCAUCUGACUGGCAGCAAGAAAAGAAGAGAGGACCUUUCAUGACCUCCUCCAUCUGAACUGCUGCCUCUUCAGUGUUGAAGCCAUGUCUAGUACGUUAAGUGACUUUCUGGCGGAGCUCACGCCCAUCAGCUGGCCCACCCGUUGGCAGUGUGUAAAGACGAACACGUCUCCUACUUCUUCUUGGUUUUUAAAAGUUAACUCAAAAUACACAAGGCGACAAAGCUAUAGGUUUGAGCUGAUGGCGUCCAGGGAGAGCACGACUAACAAUGAAAUGACAUUUAAAAAGGAUGAUCAAAAUCUUUGACUUUUAUUAAAUUCACUUUUCUUAAAUGUUGUCAUCUUUGUGUUCCUCGACAAUAAAACAUAAACUUGUCUCAUGCUGGCAGCCGUGUCUGCUCUGCAGUGGGGAGUGCGUGUCUUUUGUGAACAUUUUGGCUGUAAAAACCGGCUCUUGUAAGCCAGAAUGUUACUACGAGGAGUCGUUUGGGAGGCGGAAGAUUCUUGCCAAGCCAAACGAUCCAGAUCACUUAUGUGUCAGUUGUGUCCUAGCCAGGAACAACUUACCACUGCUGCAAGCUUGUCAUACCUCAGUGCAUUUACAUGUUUAAAAAAAUAUUUAUUGCCCUCAUCCAAGUGAAACUAGAUUAAAAAAAAUAAUAAUAAUAACUAAACACAUUAGUUGGACCGAAAUAGCACUAAAUCAUACUUUCAUAAUUGGACUAACAUUCCUGGAUCAUGCAGUUUGGGGGUUGAUUUUGUCCUUCACGUUUACAGCUAAAUCUAAAAUUAACCAAGGUGUUCUGAGCAUGCAUCAGCGAGACACUGAAUGAAAUGAGUGUGUCUAGGAUGCCAGGUAGUAAGCCAGUCGUUCGAUGUACAUACUGUUAGCAAAAGGCUAACGGUUUGUUUUAUGAUUGUUUUGAUUCACAAUACAUCAAUUGGGAGACGACCAUAUAGUAAGAAGCAGAGAUGGGCUUGUCAUCACCUUCUGUAGUGGAGGUAGACAUGCUUCUGUUAAUAAUUUGUACAGUGCUUAUGAAGUCGGAUAAAGACAGUAGUCCAGUUAAACCAUUUAAUUGAGUUAUGACUGUAGUUCAACUUUACUGUGCAUGUUAACCCACCAAGUAUCAACAUAUAUACUUGAGUAGUUGUUUCUUUCUUAUCUUGGUGAAAGCUUAGUCUUUCUCUUUUACUGUUGCUCCCCCUGUCCCAUAAACAUCUUUUAACAUUGGGGUGGGCCAACUGGACCACUGACUUAUACAGGGGUAACGAAGAUUGUUAGCCCACAAAGUUGGGCAGAAUUUGAUGCUUAUAAGUCAUUUAUAUAACUAAAAACAAAAGUAACUGUUAUAUGAGUUUGGAUUAUUUGGUUUUUAAAAGACUGAGUCCCCCCCCCCUUAAAAUGGUUUAUAUUUACAAGUUCAUAUCAUAUGUAUUUCAAAUAAAUAUGACAAAGUGUCUUGUAAUCCACAUAUUCACAUGCAAACAAAACUGGAAUUCAUCCUUGAUAAUGCCUCCAUCUACUUUAAGGUCUGUGCGUAGGCCUACCUGCGGCUUGGCACCAGGAUGGGAUUGGUCCCAACUUUCUCUGUUUAUCUAAGUGCAGCCACUCAGUGUUUAAACAUUGCCUGUUUUUGCCCAUCACACUUCAACAGAGCUCACUAGUUGGACUGACAGAGGUUUACAAUCACUGCCUUCUACCCAGGCGGGCAGAAGACUCUCCUGAGGUAGCAAUCUCAUACUUGUUCAGUCUGUCACCAGUGUGUAUAUUUCACUGCAACAACUAAAAUACCAAAUUAAAUUUACUGUAUAUCCUUUCGCUCCUCUGAGAGGACCUGUCAGAUUUCUUAGCUAAGCGAAAAGUGACAAAAAAAAGCCCAGAUUUCAAAUUAAAAGAGUGAUUUUCUGCUGUAAUACAGGAAAAUCCACUUCUUAUCCCCCUGUUGAAGAAGAAAAGCCGGCUGCAAAUGAAAGAAUCUUCUCUUGAAACCAGGCACUGAGCCAAACACAAUGUCUGUUGGCGCCGCCAGCCUGAAGGAUUUUAGCUAUUUAUUUUUCUUCUUUUUAUGUUUGGCACACGGGAGACAAAGAAAGGAUUCAUUCAAGACCGGCAAAGGAGGUUGAGUUUUUAAAAUGUGGCAAUUAACCUGCGGCAGAAGAUAUAUAUUUUUUUUUUGGUGCGCGUUUUGGAUUUAUCAUGAAAAAAGGGCUUAAUUCUUCAGCUGCUGUUUGGUUUGCUUUGAUGGGGAAGGAAGGAGAUUGGAAAAACCUAAUUACAGAGAAGAUGACGGUGAGUUUUGCACAGAAGAAUUACGAUGAGGUAAACAACACAAAGUUUUACAGAGCAGUAACAGAAGAUCAGACAGAAAAAAAUCCCUUAGUUCAAACAUGCUGAUGAUAUGUCAGAAGUAGCUCUGAGAUCAUUAGAUCUUUCUACUGUAAAUAUUCAAUCAAUCACCUAUUUAUUGGAAACUUUAAUCAAAACUUUUGCAAGUUAAUCAGUAGUGAAAAUAUAAUUCUAACAUGUUGUAUAUUGCCAACAACCAAUGCAAAAGUGUAAGGUAAACUGAGGACACUUUUAUCUGCCUUGAUUAAUGAUGUUGUUUCUGUUUAGCGUUUAGCAUCUGUUACCACCUGCACUCACAGAUUGCACACCCUUGAGAGUCAAGACCCUGGCGUUCGAGACAGGUGACAUGAGGUCAAAGUGCACAUGUUCAUAGCAGGAGCGUCAUGCUCUUCGAGGUUCCCCCCUGUGCCCCUAUUUCCCAAUGAACAACUC